CUAGAUGCCGCCAGAGCUGCUGGUGCCAGAGAGGAACAGGUGUAACCUGUUAUCCACUCAUCAGGAGGAGCUUAAAGAAGCUGGGCAGUCAGCACUCCUGUGCCUGAGUGUUUUGCCAAUGUGGUUAGUUCUAAGUCCUGGCUCAUAUCCUGAGAAUCUACCAGACCAAGUACAAGCAACCCGAAAGAACCUUCUGAUCAGACUCAAGCUGACUGCCCCCGGGAUCUCAAACCUGUGGACCAGCCUCUAGCGAAUACUGCCCACCCUCCAACAAACCUCUCUGGCACCAACUUAAACAAGGCUCGCUCAAGGUGAAGCAUCUAGUGUAUGAAUUAUUGAAUCACCUCAAACUGACUCAGCCUCCAGGCUACUCCUCUAGAGGUUCCAUCGGGAAUCAGGCGGCGGCUCCAGAACUUCCCUUUCCAGGCUCUGAAUAAUCCCCUCUCAAGCUGGACUCCUCUCCACCUCCUUGUGACGACUCCAGAUCCGGUUCCAGACCCAUUAACCAAAUCUUCAAUAAACUUGUUAAACUUU